CCUACGGGAGACAGCAGUGAGGAAUAUUGGUCAAUGGGCGCGAGCCUGAACCAGCCAAGUCGCGUGAAGGAUGACUGUCCUACGGGUUGUAAACUUCUUUUGUAAAGGAAUAAAGUCAGGCACGUGUGCCCUUUUGUAUGUACCUUAUGAAUAAGGAUCGGCUAACUCCGUGCCAGCAGCCGCGGUAAUACGGAGGAUCCGAGCGUUAUCCGGAUUUAUUGGGUUUAAAGGGAGCGUAGGUGGGUUGUUAAGUCAGUUGUGAAAGUUUGGGGCUCAACCGUAAAAUUGCAAUUGAUACUGGCAGUCUUGAGUACAGUAGAGGUAGGCGGAAUUCGUGGUGUAGCGGUGAAAUGCUUAGAUAUCACGAAGAACUCCGAUUGCGAAGGCAGCGUACUAAACUGCCACUGACGUUGAGGCACGAAAGUGUGGGUAUCGAACAGGAUUAGAUACCCCGGUAGUC
rnacentral:rRNA from 1 species